rnacentral:rRNA from 1 species
AAGGGAACGAAGCGAGGAGUGGACCGGUACCUGGGGAAGAAAGCGCCGGCUAACUACGUGCAGCAGCCGGCGGUAAUACGUAGGGCGCGAGCGUUGUCCCGGAAUUAUUGGGCGUAAAGAGCUCGUAAGCGGCCGGUUGCGUCUGCUGUGAAGUCCCGAGGCUUAACCCCGGGCGUGCAGUGGAUACGGGCCGGCUGGAGGCAGGCAGGGGAGAAUGGAAUUCCCGGUGUAGCGGUGAAAUGCGCAGAUAUCGGGAGGAACACCGGUGGCGAAGGCGGUUCUCUGGGCCUGUACUGACGCUGAGGAGCGAAAGCGUGGGGAGCGAACAGGAUUAGAUACCCUGGUAGUCACGCCGUAAACGUUGGGCGCUAGGUGUGGGUCCCUUCCACGGGGUCUGUGCCGCAGCUAACGCAUUAAGCGCCCCGCCUGGGGAGUACGGCCGCAAGGCUAAAACUCAAAGGAAUUGACGGGGGCCCGCACAAGCGGCGGAGCAUGUUGCUUAAUUCGACGCAACGCGAAGAACCUUACCAAGGUUUGACAUGGCCGGAAAACUCGCAGAGAUGCGGGGUCCUUCGGGGCCGGUCACAGGUGGUGCAUGGCUGUCGUCAGCUCGUGUCGUGAGAUGUUGGGUUAAGUCCCGCAACGAGCGCAACCCUCGUCCCAUGUUGCCAGCAUUCAGUUGGGGACUCAUGGGAGACUGCCGGGGUCAACUCGGAGGAAGGUGGGGAUGACGUCAAGUCAUCAUGCCCCUUAUGUCUUGGGCUGCAAACAUGCUACAAUGGCCGGUACAAAGCGCUGCGACAUCGUGAGAUGAAGCGAAUCGCAUAAAGCCGGUCUCAGUUCGGAUCGGGGUCUGCAACCCGGCCCCGUGAAGCCGGAGUCGCUAGUAAUCGCGGAUCAGCAACGCCGCGGUGAAUACGUUCCCGGGCCUUGUACACACCGCCCGUCACGUCACGAAAGUUGGCAACACCCGAAGCCGGCGGCCUAACCCCCUUGCGGGGAGGGAGCUGUCGAAGGUGGGGUCGGCGAUUGGGACGAAGUCGUAACAAGGUAGCCGUA